ACGGUUAGAGAGGGGAUUUUGGUCAAAAAAUUAAAACUAAAUAUUUUUGUAUAUUUAAAAAAAAUUUAUAAGUUUAUAUAUAUUUUUUAUUUUUUUAUUUCUUUUCAUGUAAUUAUGUAAUAUGAUUAAUACAAACUUUAUAUAUUUUUUUAAUUAUUUUUUUAAAAUAUCAAUUUCUCUUCAAAUAAUAAAAAAUUAUUAAAAAAAUUUGAUAAGAGAGAUUUCAAAAAGUUGGGUAUAAUUGUGUAGAGUAAAAGUUAUAAGUCAAAUUUAUAAUUUAAAAAUGAAUUAU
rnacentral:lncRNA from 1 species